CCUACGGGAGGCAGCAGUGGGGAAUCUUGCGCAAUGGGCGAAAGCCUGACGCAGCAACGCCGCGUGCGGGAAGAAGGCCUUAGGGUUGUAAACCGCUUUCAGUAGGAACGAAAAUGACGGUACCUGCAGAAGAAGGUGCGGCCAACUACGUGCCAGCAGCCGCGGUGACACGUAGGCACCAAGCGUUGUCCGGAUUUAUUGGGCGUAAAGAGCUCGUAGGCGGUUCAGUAAGUCGGGUGUGAAAACUCUGGGCUUAACCCAGAGCCGCCACUCGAUACUGCUGUGACUUGAGUUCGGUAGGGGAGCAGGGAAUUCCUAGUGUAGCGGUGAAAUGCGCAGAUAUUAGGAGGAACACCGGUGGCGAAGGCGCUGCUCUGGGCCGAUACUGACGCUGAGGAGCGAAAGCGUGGGUAGCAAACAGGAUUAGAUACCCUGGUAGUCCACGCCGUAAACGUUGGGCACUAGGUGUGGGUUCCAACCAACGGAAUCCGCGCCGUCGCUAACGCAUUAAGUGCCCGCCUGGGGAGUACGGCGGCAACGCUAAAACUCAAAGGAAUUGACGG
rnacentral:rRNA from 1 species